UGGGGAAUUUUGGACAAUGGGGGCAACCCUGAUCCAGCCAUGCCGCGUGUGUGAAGAAGGCCUUCGGGUUGUAAAGCACUUUCGGACGGAACGAAAUCGCGCGGGCGAAUACCCCGCGUGGAUAACGGUACCGUAAGAAGAAGCACCGGCUAACUACGUGCCAGCAGCCGCGGUAAUACGUAGGGUGCGAGCGUUAAUCGGAAUUACUGGGCGUAAAGUGUGCGCAGGCGGCCCGCCAAGCCAGAUGUGAAAGCCCCGGGCUCAACCUGGGAAUUGCAUUUGAGACUGCACGGCUAGAGUGUGUCAGAGGGGGGUAGAAUUCCACGUGUAGCAGUGAAAUGCGUAGAUAUGUGGAGGAAUACCGAUGGCGAAGGCAGCCCCCUGGGAUAACACUGACGCUCAUGCACGAAAGCGUGGGGAGCAAACAGGAUUAGAUACCCCGGUAGUCCCUGAGCGGGCUGGCAAGGCGCAU
rnacentral:rRNA from 1 species